CCUACGGGAGACAGCAGUGAGGAAUAUUGGUCAAUGGGCGUAAGCCUGAACCAGCCAAGUCGCGUGAGGGAUGAAGGUUCUAUGGAUCGUAAACCUCUUUUAUAAGGGAAUAAAGUGUGGGACGUGUCCUGUUUUGUAUGUACCUUAUGAAUAAGGAUCGGCUAACUCCGUGCCAGCAGCCGCGGUAAUACGGAGGAUGCGAGCGUUAUCCGGAUUUAUUGGGUUUAACGGGUGCGUAGGCGGCAUUUUAAGUCAGCGGUGAAAGUCAGUGGCUCAACCAUGGAAUUGCCGUUGAAACUGGGAGGCUUGAGUGUGUUAGAGGAUGGCGGAAUGCGUGGUGUAGCGGUGAAAUGCUUAGAUAUCAGGCGGAACACCAGUGGCGAAGGCGACCAGCCAGGCCAUGACUGACGCUGAUGCACGAAAGCGUGGGGAUCAAACAGGAUUAGAUACCCUAGUAGUC
rnacentral:rRNA from 1 species